UACAGAGGUGGCAAGCGUUGUUCGGAAUUACUGGGCGUAAAGGGCGCGUAGGCGGCCUACUAAGUCAGACGUGAAAUCCCCCGGCUUAACCUGGGAACUGCGUCUGAUACUGGAAGGCUUGAGGAUGGGAGAGGGAUGUAGAAUUCCAGGUGUAGCGGUGAAAUGCGUAGAUAUUGGGAGGAACACCAGUGGCGAAGGCGGCUCACUGGACCGGUACUGACGCUGAUGCGCGAAAGCGUGGGGAGCAAACGGG
rnacentral:rRNA from 1 species